CACASAGAGUUGCUCURGWUUGACCAGKGGCGGCCGGGUGAGUAAUGKUUGGGAAAUGCCUSAUGGAGGGGGUYCCUACUGGAAAGGGUAGCUAAUACCGCAUAACGUCGCAKGACMAAGAGGGGGACCUUCGGGCCUCUUGCCAUCAGAUGUGCCCAGAUGGGAUUAGCUAGUAGGUGGGGUAACGGCUCACCUAGGCGACGAUCCCUAGCUGGUCUGAGAGGAUGACCAGCCACACUGGAACUGAGACACGGUCCAGACUCCUACGGGAGGCAGCAGUGGGGAAUAUUGCACAAUGGGCGCAAGCCUGAUGCAGCCA
rnacentral:rRNA from 1 species